CAGUUGUCAGGAAUCAACCUGUUUUUCCCUCUGACCACCAGAGGGAGCCAUCGCCUGAGUUUUAAUCUCUCCUUGAGCCUCAUCUUCACUCCAUUUCCCACAAGCCUCUGCCCGCUGUCCCCAGACCUCACCAGCUGUGCCUCAUUCAAGCAAUCACCACCAAACAUUUAUAAGGAGGCUUCAGGCUGUGCUCAGCCUGCUUCGACCCCAGCCUGCCUUUGACCACCGAUCUGCCUCAGCCUCUGACAAACUCCUCGCCGUGCCUGACCCUCGCCUGUUCUUCACCUAUGGCCUGCCUCAGCCUCUGACAAACCCGUUGCCGUUCCAGACCUCUGCCAAGUUCACCACGUCAAGCCUAAGCUCCUUAAA